UGGCGAUGAACGGGAUAGCCCAUCGCGAAACUGCAGGUCAUCUUGGCCUGGCGGCAUGUCGCGUUCGGGAGAGUCUUAUCGAGAACUGGUCAGCCAGUCAAAGUCCAACUUGACAGUGGCCACAGCCCACAGAGGGUGAUAGGCCCGUAAGGCGGAUGACCGUUCUUGCUGACUUUUCCCCAGAGUCGGGUUGCUUGGGAGUGCAGCCCAAAGUGCGAGGUAAACUUCUCGUAAGGCUAAAUAUGACCCCGAGACCGAUAGCAAACAAGUACCGUGAGGGAAGAUUGAAAAGAACUUUGAAGAGAGAGUUCAAUAGUACGUGAAACUGUGUGGUGGUAAACGGAGGGGUUCUUGAAGUUUCUGUGGGGAACUCAACCUUGGUGGUUGGUGGCCCGGCUGUAUUUGAUCAGCAAUGACUUUGCAGCUGGUUCGGCCUGCCUCCCGGGUGCAUUUCCCCCGCAGUUUACGGCAGGAACUGUUUGGAGCGGACCAAAGGCCUUGGGUGAAGUUGUUGGUUCUGCCGGCAGCCUCAGGUGUCCUGGCUCUGCCCCAGACAGGUAACUGAGAGGACUCGUAUAGCGAGCAAUGCUCUGUUGUGGUUCUCAUAUCUCUGCCGAGUAGGUCAGCGGCCCCUCUGACCCGUCUUGAAACACGGACC
rnacentral:rRNA from 1 species